GCUGCUUCCUUCCAUACAACCUUUUAUUCCGACAAAACCGGUAGUACGUACAUUCAUGGUACAUAUAUGCGCAAGAUGGAAUUAACAGCCCCCCUAAUCCUAGUCUACACUAAUCACAUGGACCAUACUCUACUCUAUAGUAACAAUAAUUCAUAGUACGUAUUUGGUAACUUUACGUAGACACAAUCACACUAGGGUGCAAAAGAAUGCAAAUAUCUCAAUGACUGGUUGGCGCAAGCAUGGACUGCUGCUGUGCUGAUGGCCUAGACAAAAUCGAAGCGCAUGAGGAGCCUGACCGACUUGAACCUGACGCCCUUGCGAUCGUGCAGGGGCACAGCACGAAUGCCCUGCUUCAGCUCCCACACCGGCAGCACCGUCUGCCCUCCGAAGUCAUGCUUCUCCGACAUGUCGUACUCCUGCACCUCUAUCCUCAGCAGGGCAAGCUCCGGCACCGUCAGCGGGAACGUGAACUCCUCGUCCCACACCGGCACCCACUGGUCCUCCAGGACCCGUGUUUUCUUCAUCACACUAUCCGCCUUCACUCCAGCGAUCCCUACCUGUUUAUAUCAGAGACCAUACAUACUAUAUUGGGCCUUCUUAGCUACAACUUCCAUGCGCCAAAAUGAGUAUAGAAAUCUUUACCCUGGUAUAGAAAUCCGGAGGCGAGAAGGCGUCGAAAUGAGUUUUACUGAAAUCCAUGCGCCACCCAUCGCCCAUGUAUACUUUUACCUGCUUGGACAUCAUCACAGAAAAUUUAGCUGCUAGGGUGGGCUAUCUUCACUGAGAUUUUGAGCAACCAGUGGUCAGAGAAUUGCAGGCAUAUCACCUACCUUGAGAGUUUUCUUCACUGGCAAACUCGCCUUGGGGUCAAAUACUUCACCAUUUGGACCUGUUGUUAGCAAGAAGUCAGGUUUUUUAACAUACCCGCAACCCCCAUUAGCUCUGAAAAAUCCUUGCAUUAACCGCAGUGCUUUGUCAUGCCCCUGAAAAACGAAAGCCCAACAGAUUAUGCCUUUCUUCACGGAGCUUCAGCAUUUUACAACUCAUAGCUGCAUGCAACAGCUUAAUAUAUACUAUGCAAGUAUAAAUCAUGACGAAAGUGGAAAAUGGAUCCCACCUGCAUGUUGAAUGCAACCAUCUGAGCACCAUGAGCCCAGGCAUUCAUUGGAUCAUAGUUAGAAGAAUUAACCCUUGUGCCCUUCGGAUACACUCGGAGUAUAUUCUUCUGGGUGAACCUGAAUACAAUUUCAAUGCUUCAUCAACUAUGUGUAUAGCAAGUUAGCAACCAACUUGAAGAGAUGCAAUCUUAUAAUUGGUUAGUGUUACUAGUUUGUGUUGGUUAUCUUUUGUAGGGGCUAGGGGAAUUCAAUCUUUUACUGAAUUAUCAUGUGUGUCCUGUAACCUUGGCACACAGACAGUUUCUUUUUCCAUUUGUUUCUCGUAAGACUACAAUACCUGCUGAACCUCUAUGGUCUAAACUCUAAAACAGAGGAAUAUGAUUUAAAGGCAUAAGCAAAUAAUUGAGUUUAUAAAACCCACAGAACCAAUUGUAUAAAAAUUCGAUACCAAAUCUUCUAGUGUUCUUGUGGACUGGGCUCACACAAAUUACCUUAUGACUUCAGCACCAUGAGAAGUUGUUGCUUUAGCUAACUGUGUUUCACUCAAAGAAAGCCGCCUGACUUUGUCUGGAUCCACCCUAAGCGCAUCCCGCAAAUGGCCUUUUGGUUUUCCAGCUUGGAUGGUGAUCAGUUUCCUAUACUCGCAGGCAGUAUCAUGCUGAAAUUUGGGGUCGUCCUCAUCGGAAUCUUCCUCAUCUUGAUCGUCUAGUUCAUCCUGUUCAUGACAGUAAGUUUACUUCAUGCAUGUUAAACAAUGGGUGCAUGUCUUGAAAAGGCAGUGAUAUUGCAGACCUUUCCAUCAGAUUCAUCAGCAUUUGAAUCUAUUCUUCUCAGGCUUCCUUGGUCUGGCAAAUCAGCUAUGUUUCCACUGACAUUCUGAUUAUCCUUGACUUUGAGAAACUCCUUAUAUUCUUGUGGGGGUUUAGUUGAGAUGAUUAUCCUCUUCAUCAGAGCUUCUGGAGAAGGAAACUCUUUCAUUGGGUCUGAACUAGGGAUGAAAAGAAGAUCUCCAAAUGUUUCAGUGAGCAUCUAUAGUAAUUUCCAUGUUAGGACUGAUGUUUUAAACUGAGGGGAAUUGCAAAGAAAAAAAAUGAUGCAGUAAGUAAACUUCACCUCAGCUACUUUGGCUUGGAGGUCCGCUGUGAGGUGAUCCUCAAGAGUAAUAACAAGGGGAUAAUUGGAUGCACAAAAGGCAUAUUCUUUAAUGGACUUUAAACAUCUGAUCAUUUCUACAGGGGCAGUCAAUGUCCUUUCAAAUACCAAGAAAAAUAAGAGUCAGGGAAACAUUUUGCAGAGUGAGAGAAAAAAAAAAGGGAUGGCUACAAGUUCAAGCAGUAUGGGUUAUUUAUAACAAACUGACUGUGAAAAUAUGGAAUUUAGCAGUGGUGUGUAGUGGGGAAAUUCUUGUUCUAGCUACACUGUUGUGUAGGGAGUAUUGGAGGGGAAGAAAAUGUGUUCAUCCUUCAUUUUGAAGAAAAGCUGGCAUGGUAUAUCAGACAAUAAACUGCGCACAAUUGAUUUUUUUAUGUGUAUCCAAAAUGUCAUCCUCAAAUGAUAUGAAGUUGUUUCCACAUGCAAAAACACACACGCUGUAAUCAUCCUACUUGUUGAAAAAGCCAAUGUGGUUAAAAAAAGAAAAAGAAAUCCAUACCCUCCAUGAAGAAUAUCAACAUUGUUCUUUGAAGCAUUUGGCCACAUAUCGAGUUCAAUGACUCUAACACCUCUCUGGAGUGACUUUAUAAUUGGGAUGUCGCUGGAGUCACUAUUGAGCUGGUUCCCAGUAAGGUAGGAAUUAUGGCCAGUGAAUAUGAAAUAAUGAGGCAACGGGGCUGACAUGUCCUGGUGAACCUGAGGUAAGAGUGAAAGUAAUGGUGAGCGAUGAGGCAUUGUUUAUCACGAUGAAGCAAAACGAGCUAUGGAAUGGGAACAAUAUGAAGCACAUGUUUAGUACGAGAGCUGAAAAAUCAUUACAUUCCUAUAGUACAGAGCAACAGCUAGGAGCUGGUAGUAAUUCUAUUGGGUCAUUUUUGUGGCAUGAAUGAUGCUACAGGUACUAGUAGCGUUUCCUGAAUUCGAUGCAGAUAUGUCUGUUUUGUGAAAAGGACUACGGUAGUACUACUUGUAGUUGUAGGCUUGUGCUACUCGGUAAUGAUGACCUCAUCUGUACUCAGUUCUUUAGAUGUGAAGUGGAAUGUGAGAGCAGAGUGCAAUACAACCACAUGGCAAAUGACAUAGCACUAAAAGGAAUGCAGACAGGUACCCUCUGUCGCUGUCUCAUCCCAUUCAUUCCCAAUUUCCCAUCCAUGAUUCAUCCCGAGGAGGAGGAGGAGGAGGAGGAGGAGGAGGAGGAGGAGGAGGAGGAGGGAGGAGCCAAGGAGGUAGUGUAAAAAUGGAAUCUUUGAGGAGGGAUGAAUGGAGUUGACCUUGCUUGAUGGAAACAAGUCAACUGUCGGUAGGAGAGUAGAUGAUGAAACUGAAUCAAACAAUCAUCAUUCCUUGCAGAGAACGAAGAGGUGCGUACCUGGUUGUUGAUUGGCGGGUUGAGAUCGGGGGAGAAGAGGAAUCCGAAGAAGUCGUCGAGCGUGGGCGGCGCCGGCGCCGGCGACCUGGUGACGAGGCGGGCGAUGCCGUGAGCCGCCGAAGUGGGCGCGAGGGUGGCGAGGAUGCGGUCGACGUCGGGGGGAGACUCGCCCUGGACUUGGGAGAGGAAGCGGCGGAGGCCAUGGCCAUCAGAGCUGCAACAGUAGGAGAGGUGGGCGGCGCGGACGUCGGGCGGCGGCUGCGCGUCGGGGGAUCGGAACUUGCGGGUGAAGCACAUGCAGUACUUGUACGCGUAGCU
rnacentral:lncRNA from 1 species